rnacentral:rRNA from 1 species
UACACUCCUACGGGAGGCAGCAGUGGGGAAUUUUGGACAAUGGGCGAAAGCCUGAUCCAGCAAUGCCGCGUGAGUGAAGAAGGCCUUCGGGUUGUAAAGCUCUUUUGUCAGGGAAGAAACGGUGAAAGCUAAUAUCUUUUGCUAAUGACGGUACCUGAAGAAUAAGCACCGGCUAACUACGUGCCAGCAGCCGCGGUAAUACGUAGGGUGCAAGCGUUAAUCGGAAUUACUGGGCGUAAAGCGUGCGCAGGCGGUUUUGUAAGUCUGAUGUGAAAUCCCCGGGCUCAACCUGGGAAUUGCAUUGGAGACUGCAAGACUAGAAUCUGGCAGAGGGGGGUAGAAUUCCACGUGUAGCAGUGAAAUGCGUAGAUAUGUGGAGGAACACCGAUGGCGAAGGCAGCCCCCUGGGUCAAGAUUGACGCUCAUGCACGAAAGCGUGGGGAGCAAACAGGAUUAGAUACCCCUGUAGUCCCAUGAU